rnacentral:misc_RNA from 1 species
AGCAGCCGCGGUAAUUCCAGCUCCAAUAGCGUAUAUUAAAGUUGUUGCAGUUAAAAAGCUCGUAGUUGAAUUUCGGGAUCAAUUAAUUGGUCGUGCCUCUGGUACGUACUGAUUUUAUUGGUUUCUCCCUUCUGACGAACCAUGAUGUCAUUAAUUUGGUGUCGUGGAGAACCAGGACUGUUACUUUGAAAAAAUUAGAGUGUUUAAAGCAAGCUAACGCUUGAAUACAUUAGCAUGGAAUAAUGAAAUAGGACGUUUGACCCUAUUUUGUUGGUUUCUAGGAUCGACGUAAUGAUUAAUAGGGAUAGUUGGGGGCAUUAGUAUUCAAUUGUCAGAGGUGAAAUUCUUGGAUUUAUUGAAGACUAACUACUGCGAAAGCAUUUGCCAAGGAUGUUUUCAUUAAUCAAGAACGAAAGUUAGGGGAUCGAAGACGAUCAGAUACCGUCGUAGUCUUAACCAUAAACUAUGCCGACUAGGGAUCGGAUGAUGUUAAUUUUUUAAUGUACUCAUUCGGCGCCUU